AAGACCUGUACUUUGAACUGCAGACUGAAGAUCAGGUCCAAGGCAGAUUUGGCUUGCGAGGGAAUCCUGACUACUCUCUGCUCAGUAAAGCCAUUUUCUCUGUGCGUCUUCCCUUGAGACUGAGACCAAACUCCAGACAUGAGGAUGUUUGCAUACCUUCUGAUUGCUCUUCUCUUCUUGGUUUUCCAACAUUUUCCAGGCAGCAGGACUUUCCAUAUAUUGGACACUAUCCAGUGUGGUUUGAGAAGGGGUAGAUGCAGACGUUACUGCCAUGUAAAUGAGUAUCUGACUGGAAGCUGCUUCUAUAAGAAAUACAAAUGCUGUAAGAAAUAUCCAGAAAUAUUCUAUAUUCCACAAAGCUAAAGAAAAGAAAAAGAAGGAGUGUUCUUAGCAUCAAAGAAUUCUCUGCUCUGUAACUUAGUCAUUUAUGAUGCCUCAAUAAUACAUAUAUUUUUUUUUCUUUGCAUUUCCGAUGAUGGGUGUACGUUUUUCUUGUUAUUCUUCUAGAGAUAUUUCUCAUGCUGUUAGAUGCAGCAACUUGGUUUGGGGAAAAAAAUCCUAUUUUMUCUACUAUAGAUACAGCUAAUUAAGACAUUCUGAUAAUGUGCAAGAUUUCUGUUUCUCACACAAAGGAGGAGGAUUCGUAUUUUCUUAAGAUUACAUUUUAUUUCAUUUUAAUUAAUAUGUUAUGAAACUUCUGCUGUAACUUAUCAGUUGUCAUGAUGGCUCAAUAAAAACACAUAAAAAUCAUUUAUGAAA
ensembl:lncRNA